rnacentral:misc_RNA from 1 species
CCUGUUCGAGCGUCAUUAUAACCAAUCACGCCUGGCGUGGUAUUGGGGCCUGCCGCCGGGCAGCCCCUAAACUCAAUGGCGGCGCGCGGGGCUCUCAGCGUAGUAAUUCUUCUCGCUACAGGGUCCGCGUGGAUGCUCGCCAGCAACCCCCACCUCUUAAGGUUGACCUCGGAUCAGGUAGGGAUACCCGCUGAACUUAA